CUCCAGACUCCUACGGGAGGCAGCAGUGGGGAAUAUUGGGCAAUGGGCGCAAGCCUGACCCAGCAACGCCGCGUGAAGGAAGAAGGCCCUCGGGUUGUAAACUUAUUUUAUCAGGGACGAAACAAAUGACGGUACCUGAUGAAUAAGCCACGGCUAACUACGUGCCAGCAGCCGCGGUAAUACGUAUGGAGCAAGCGUUAUCCGGAAUUACUGGGUGUAAAGGGAGCGUAGGCGGCAAGGCAAGUCUGAUGUGAAAACCCAGGGCCCAACCCUGGGACUGCAUUGGAAACUGUAUUGCUUGAGUACCGGAGAGGCAGGCGGAAUUCCUAGUGUAGCGGUGAAAUGCGUAGAUAUUAGGAGGAACACCAGUGGCGAAGGCGGCCUGCUGGACGGUAACUGACGCUGAGGCUCGAAAGCGUGGGGAGCAAACAGGAUUAGAUACCCCUGUA
rnacentral:rRNA from 1 species